AUUGAACGCUGGCGGCAGGCCUAACACAUGCAAGUCGAACGAGUGGCGGACGGGAGAGUAAUGUCUGGGAAACUGACUGCUGGAGGGGGAUAAAGACUGGAAACGGUAGCUAAUACCGCAUAACAACGGAUGAGCCCAGAUGGGAUUAGCUGGUAGGUGGGGUAAAGGCUCACCUAAGCGACGAUCCCUAGCGGGUCUGAGAGGAUGACCAGCCACACUGGAACUGAGACACGGUCCAGACUCCUACGGUGGGCAGCAGUGGGGAAUAUUGCACAAUGGGCGCAAGCCUGAUGCAGCCAUGCCGCGUGUAUGAAGAAGGCCUUCGGGUUGUAAAGUACUUUCAGCGGGGAGGCGUUACCCGCAGAAGAAGCACCGGCUAACUCCGUGCCAGCAGCCGCGGUAAUAC
rnacentral:rRNA from 1 species